rnacentral:rRNA from 1 species
CUAGCCUACGGGGCGCAGCAGUAAGGAAUCUUCCACAAUGGACGAAAGUCUGAUGGAGCAACGCCGCGUGAGUGAAGAAGGGUUUCGGCUCGUAAAGCUCUGUUGGUAGUGAAGAAAGAUAGAGGUAGUAACUGGCCUUUAUUUGACGGUAAUUACUUAGAAAGUCACGGCUAACUACGUGCCAGCAGCCGCGGUAAUACGUAGGUGGCAAGCGUUGUCCGGAUUUAUUGGGCGUAAAGCGAGUGCAGGCGGUUCAAUAAGGCUUG